rnacentral:rRNA from 1 species
GUAGGUGGCAAGCGUUGUCCGGAAUUAUUGGGCGUAAAGCGCGCGCAGGCGGUUCUUUAAGUCUGAUGUGAAAGCCCACGGCUCAACCGUGGAGGGUCAUUGGAAACUGGAGAACUUGAGUACAGAAGGAAAAAGCGGAAUUCCACGUGUAGCGGUGAAAUGCGUAGAGAUGUGGAGGAACACCAGUGGCGAAGGCGGCUUUCUGGUCUGUAACUGACGCUGAGGCGCGAAAGCGUGGGGAGCAAACAGGGAUUAGAUACCCUGGUAGUCCACGCCGUAAACGAUGAGUGCUAAGUGUUAGGGGGUUUCCGCCCCCUUAGUGCUGCAGCUAACGCAUUAAGCACUCCGCCUGGGGAGUACGGCCGCAAGGCUG